rnacentral:rRNA from 1 species
UACGGAGGGGGCUAGCGUUGUUCGGAAUUACUGGGCGUAAAGCGCACGUAGGCGGACUGUUAAGUCGGGGGUGAAAUCCUGGGGCUCAACCUCAGAAUUGCCUCCGAUACUGGCAGUCUCGAGUGCGGGAGAGGUGAGUGGAAUUCCCAGUGUAGAGGUGAAAUUCGUAGAUAUUGGGAAGAACACCAGUGGCGAAGGCGGCUCACUGGCCCGUAACUGACGCUGAGGCGCGAAAGCCAGGGGAGCAAACGGG